AGGUCGGUACUGCAGUCAGAGACCAGAGUCUCCAGGAUCCAUCUGUCUGUCUAUGAAGAGUAACCGGUCCAUAUCACCCCCUCUAGACUUCAGUAAAGAACCUGGACCCUCAGACACAAGAAGAGGAGUGAAUUCUGCAGCUUCCAGGUGUCGGUCUACGAAGAGUGACGUCUCCAAAGAUCUAUCUGACGACUUCAACAGUGAACCUGCUCCGAUGAAACGGAGCUCAGACCAGUCGACUUCACCGGAAAAUCUGGGAUCCAGAGCAAGC